GGGCCUGUAGUUCAACGGUAGAAUGUUUCCUUCGCAGGGAAAAGAUUUGAGUUCAAUUCUCAGCAGGUCCA
rnacentral:tRNA from 3 species